AGGCGCUGCGCGGCGGCCUCCUCGGCUGCCACCCUGCCGCUGUCCAGCUCCAGGCGCUGAGGCGGCCCGGCAUCGUUCUAAACGCUUCGCCAACCUUAACUCGGGGCACUGUCGUGACAGCCUGUGCUGCGUUCACUAUCAGUAUCCCCCACACACAGGCUGAGGGACCCAGGCCAGAGGCCCUGCUCCCUGUCCAGUCUCACGCAUAAAGUAAGCUGCUGAGCUGCGGACAGAAGCUGAGAUUGCCUUGUUCCAUGAUGCUGUAAAGAUGCUGCUCUGUGCCGGGUGCUGGUCCCCAGCGUUGCCUCCGCUCAGCACCCAGCAGCCCCACAAGGGUGUCAACAGAGCAUCAGGAGGCACUGACCCCAGAGCCCCUCCACGUCCCCGGGAACGGCCGGCCCCCCGUCGCCGCCGAGGGCCCUCGGCCAGGAUGGACAGCCAGGGGAAGGCUGCUUGUCUCCACGCCUCUCCGACGGCUCUUCUUCCGGCCCCUCCAGCCCAGGUGGAAUCCUUGAAGCUGGAGUCAGGACUGCCGGGCUUGCGGAGACGUGGGCUCCCCAGGAAGUGCUGAGCCCAUGAUCAGAGCUGCACCCCCACAAGAAGUCACCAUGUGGAUCCCCAGAGGGGAUACUCCGGAAGUGCUUCCAUUCGGCCACCAGCAGCUGUGAUGUCCCCUGACCGUGCAUCCUGGGUCCCAGGGGAUGGUGGGUAGGGGAGCCAGGCGAGGAAGUGAGUCACAGCCCUGUGGGGUGAGCUCCCCGAGGGGAAGGGAUUGCGUAGAGUACUUGGGGGAAUUUGUGAGCCUUCAAGCUGGCCUCUGCUGCGACAGGGGCCAGCAGCCUCGUCCGCUCUGUAGUCCACUCCGGCUGCUCCCUGUAGCCAGGGGUGCGGCAUGGCAGGAACAGGCCACAGGGCAAGGGAGGAGUGUGGUGGGCUCAGAAGGCUCUGGGGAGAGGGUGCCUUGCUCCUGGUGCUGAAAGGACAGCGCCCGGCUUGGGCAGAGGCCGCGCCAAGUCCUGGCGGAAGCUUUUCCGCAAACUGGAGUGGGGCGUCAUGUGCAUCUGAAUUUUUCCACUCCUCUUCUCUGGAGCCUGUCAGUGCCGUCUUGGCAAAGAUGGUUUGAGCCUGAAAGCUUUUCCCAUCUAUUUUUAAAUAAAUGGAAUUCCUGUCACUUGCAU
rnacentral:lncRNA from 1 species